ACCAAACCAAACCUAUUAUGAUCGGGUUUUUUUAUCCAACACCAAACCAAACCAAACAAACUACUACUCGGGUUUUUUUUUUCGGUUUGGUUCGGUUUGUCGGUUUGGUGCGGUUUGUCGGUUUUCUUUGUACAACCCUAUAUUUCUUAUAUAACUAUACCUAGUCUACGUACGUUGGAUUUAACGGGUGCUGGAGCACCACGAAAAAGCAGAUAGGUCCGCCCCUAGCGUGUAUAGAAGUUGCCCUAGAAUGAGCUCGAUAAGUCAGGGACCCAUAUAACUUUUUACAAUUGUCCACAUACAUCUUUAUCAUCUGAACAGAAAAAAGGAAUGGUUCAAGCGCAAUGUACUCACUAAAAAACGAGCUACAUUUUAUAACAAGACAGAUUAUUCCAGUGAUUUAUGAUUCUCAUGUAACUUCCAGGAAGGAGAACUAGAAAUUAUAACCAACCUCAGAUUACCACAACUCCCAAAAAUAUACAUAUAAAUAUAUACACAUCAUCUCCUCGUACCAAUAACAAAUAUCCUCAGGUUAUCCCCAACAGAUUCAAUCAUUCGCAAUAGUACUUUUCUGCACCUUUCCUUUCCACUCUUCUUUUGCGGCAAAGGACUAUUUUUGCAUUGGUUCUCUCGAGGUCCGGGUCGGACUUGAAGAGGGUUCGAUUGAAUAACUUAUAGUGUAAAAAGGGCCAAGAAAACCUUUUGUGUGUAUAUGUAUAUGUAUAUUGCUGAAUAUCUCUGACGUAAGAGAAGCUUUUACUGUAACGGUAAAAGGCGGUUCUUUCGGUCGCAGGUUCAGAUUUCAUUCUCACAUAAGGAAAGCUUCUACUGUAGCAGUAAAAGGUUUUUCAUGAUUUACUUUAGGUCGCAAGUUCAAAUUUCAAGUGUGUUAUUCUUGCAUUAUUAUUUCAAGUUCCCUACUUCCCGUGUUGUAAUUCCUAUAACUCCGUCUUAGGUGUGAUAUUUUUGCAUUAUCUUAACUUCCCUCAUCAGAAAUUUUCAACUCCGCCCAAAUCUCAUAAGGUGUAACAUUCUUGCGUCAUUUUAACUUCCGUUAUCAGAAUUCCCAACUCCACUCGAAUUUUAGGUGUGAUAUUCUUGCGUUAUUUCAACUUCCCUUGUCAUAAUUUCAACUCCACUCAGAUCUCAUCAACUGUGUCAUUCUUGUAUUAUUUUAACUUCCCUUAUCAAAAUUUCCAACUCCGCUCACAUCUCAUCAAGUGUGACAUUCUUGCAAUAUUUUAACUUCCCAUGUCAGAAUUUCCAACUCCACUGAAAUAUCAGCUAUGAUCUCGUGCAUGGCGGCAGUUGAUCAUGAGGACCCUUUUGGCUUUGAAGAUUAUUUUCCAUCAAUGAUUGAUUCAUUGGGGGUUGAAAGGUUCAUAGAGGAACUAUGCAAUGGUUUCUUUUUGCUAAUGGAUGUAAGUGUAGGGCUAAUCACCUUUGAAAGCUUGAGGAGGAACACAAUCUUGAUGGGGUUGCAUGAAUUGAGAGAUGAUGAGCUUGUUUGCAUGUUGGCUGAAGGAGAUUUGGAUGGAGAUGGAGCUCUUAAUCAGAUGGAGUUUUGUAAACUCAUGUUUAAAUUGAGUCCGGGAUUAUUGAUGGAUAGAUCCACGUAGCGAAUUGAUUACUUAAUUGGGAAUUUUGCUGUAAUUAUCUAGUAUUCGGUACUUAUUGGUUUGGAUUUUCAAUGCUAAUCCCUUUUUCGAAGUAAAGGUGAUUCGCAAGAUUGUGUUGGAUGAAUAGAUGAGUCUUCAGUCUCUUAACAACAAUUGAAUAGAGGCUUUGUUUUUUUUUUCCUACUUUGAGAUAAGGAGGAUGUAUUAAUUGAUCUGCCUUGUAAAAUGAUGAAUGGCCAUAGUGUAUCUAGAGAUUUCUAAUUCGUGAUACCGAUAUGUAAUCUAUUUGCUUCAUUUUAUAUAAGGAUGAUAUUUAGAUUGGAUAA